AAAGACAUGAAAAAUCUAAGGUAUUAAAGAACAAUGUAAAAUUACUUAAACUCUUCACUAAAGAGCCGUUUAAUGUUGUUAAUGCCGUUUAUUUUUAAAAAAAAUUAUAUAUAAAAAAAUUAUAUAUAUAUAUAUAUAGUCAGGGUUUACCUUACCAAAAUAUUUAUAUAUAGUCAGAGUUGGUUCGGGUUAGAUUGACUCGGAACUCUUAGGACCGAAGACCGACUCACACAGUGCUGGUCUAGGAAU
rnacentral:lncRNA from 1 species